rnacentral:tRNA from 1 species
UGAUAAAAUGGCUGAGAAUAGGCGAUAGACUGUAAAUUUAUUAACGAGGGGUUCCCCUCUUUUAUCAA